ACAAGCGGACAGAACGCACCAUAUGAAAAGGGUUGUGAGAGUAGAACAAUGAUUAUACGAAAUGUAAUAAUUGUAAAUCAAAUGUAUAGUUACAUGUUGAUCGUAUUUUUCAAAACCAACCAUACUUUGGCAAAAAAUCAUUUAUUAUUGCUAAACGUAUCAAAAUAUUCGUAUUUCAAAAUACACUUUUCUACAUCUUUAUAGGUAAAACGCCUUCAGGUAGGCAAUGAAAUUCAAUUUCUUGACUGAUAUCGCGGCAAACAUGGCGGCGGAUAUCUUUUUUCAAAGGACUGAAGCAACUGUCAAAUCACAUACAAACGUUCCGUAUUGACUUUUUGGAACCAGAACGUUAGUUCCCUUUUUAUUCCAAUGACAUUUUGGUACCAAAACGUCAGUGUGGUACUGAAAUGUCAGGUCGGAAAUUUUCUUCUUUUUCAACCCCUUGUCUUUCUCGAGUCGAAUAUUGGUGCACCUUUUUUAUUCGUAAUUUGGGAGUCUGAAAAUAAAAAGAAAGGCAAUUUUUUCUGAAAUACAGGUUUUUUUUCAAAAGUUAACAGCAUUCAAAAUUUAAACGUAAAACACGUGGUCUUGUAGGCAUUCGCCCCUAUUUUGGUAUGAAUGAUUUUAGUUAAAAUAUUUAUAAUCUUCGGAAAGUGCAUUUUUUUUAGUUGGUUACUGUGAGACCUGGCCAGGGUUAAGGAAUAAACCAGGGAAAAUCCCAUCGCUUACCUUGCGUAAGUUCAGAUGCUGCGGAAGAAAGCCCUUUUUGUUGACACUGCACUACACUGACGCACGUCAUCGCGAGCGCUUGAUUGGAGCGCGACUGGCGGGACGAUGUGGAGAGAAGAUGUGUGCGACAGAGAUAAAUGGCUUUGUCCGCUGUCAGCCGAGGGGUGUCUCGAUGGAUAUAUUGAAUACAUUUGUAAUCGCUUAUUUAUAUCGAUCGUAUUAUCUCAAGGGGUGUCCCACAGUUACCACAGGUGGUAAAUCCCGGUUCACGGAUUGUACUCCAAGGCAUGGCGAGCCGCGGCGUCCCCCCAGUUUGCUACUCUGAGUCCAUGGGUACAAUGGGAAGACUCAUGAUAUACUUCGUGUAUAUUUUCUACUCCUUAAACUCCACCUGGGGCCGCAGACCUGGUUCCCACCUCGAACUGUUUAACACACUCUACUUCAAUAGUGGGAGGUCUAUUCGCGCUAGUGCGCUCCAAGGCAAUUGUCAUUAACGAGACCACUUUCAGCAAAACCUCUCAUCCUUACGACUCGACACCUAAACUCUCCUCUAAGGACUUGAGAACCAACAUCUCCUCGCAAUGACUCGAGAUUCCCACACAAACCCCCUCCUCUUCGCGACUUGAGACCUGAUCUCUCCUCUAACGAUUCGAGAUCCGACUCUUCCUCGCAUCGACUCGAGGUUUACCUCUCCUCUGCACGAUUCAAGGCCAGAUCUCCCCUCUAAUGACUUGAAAUCUGACCUAUCCUCGUAUUGACUCGAGGUGACCACUUGUACCCCUCCUCUUGUUGAUUUUGGGCCUGAUCCCUCCUCUUACGACUCGAGACCCGACCCUUUAUCAUAUAGACUCGGGGUUGACCACACAAACCUCCCCGCCUGAAAGUUCGAGGCCUGACCUCUCCUCUAACGACUCGAAGCCCGACCUCUUAGCUCCAGGAUUCGAGGUUCGCCACUUUGGCUGUCGUGUGCCAGAUCGAGAGCAGCUUAUUCUAGACUCGCGCCUGUCACGGCACACGCGCGGGACUCAACGCAACGACUCGGAUGAAUUCCGACGAAGACGUAAUCCUACUCCGACUCGAAUGGCUAACCCGGUGUCGAAAGCCAGUCUACCCGUGAGUAUUCCCCGAUCGUGGAAUAACCCUUUCCCAACGAUUUCCACUGCGAAGAAGGUUAAGUCUUAUCCCCGCAGCUUCAGUCGUUGGAAACCGCCCAACUCGGAUACUAGCCGAAGGUGGAGCAUCCUACGCACGAACGCAGUGCACCCACGGCAUCCGCUACGCAGAAGAUGUUGGCUUAUCUUUGUAACUUCAAACCGUGAGGUCGGACGCACUCUACUCGACAGCCCCCCGUCGAAGAGAUCAGUCUACUCCGACCGUUGCCCGGUCUUCUUUAUCCCCCUUGGCUGGCAACCCUAGGAUUUUUGGCCCUCGGAUUUUUCUGCCCGUUGUGUGCCAGAUCGAGAGCAGCUUGUCCUGAACUCGCGCCUGUCACGGCACACGUUCGGGAGUUUGAACGCUACGACUCGGAUGUUUCUCGACGAUGACGACAUCCUACUUCGCCUCGAGAGGCUUGCCCGGUAUCGAGAGCCUCUCUACCCGUGGGGAUCCCCCGAUAGUGGUUAACCCUCUUCCUUCGAGGUCCGCUACGAGGAAGGUAAAGUCUUAUCCCCGCAGUUUCCCCCUUAAGAAGGGACACUAAUCGGAUACUCCCCGACAUUGGAAUAUCCUACACACGUUCGCGGUGCACCCCUGACCUCCGCUACGCAGAAGGAAGGAUCGAUCAAGGAAUUGGACGCACACUUUUCAGAUGCUCCCCGUCGAUCUAGUCAUCCUGCACCGUUCGCGGACUGCCGUUGGUUCCAGCUCUUCUGCAGGGCAGUCAUGAUCCGAGUGAACCCAUCGCUGACCGCAUGCCAAGUGUUGAAAUCCGCACACAUCUUCUGUACAACGUUGUCUGCUGUCGUGUCGGGCCCACAGGCGGCAAAUAUGGAAGUACGUACCGCCGCAAACCUCGGAUAGACAAACACCACAUGCUCGGGUGUUACCUCCACGUCCCCACAAUCUGGGCAAUAUGGCGAAGCCAUAUGUCCAAACCGGUAGUGGUACUUCAUUAAUGACCAUCCAUGACCAGUCAGGAAUUACUUCAUAUAGAAGUCCACUUCACCGUGCCUUCUUCCGAUCCAGCUCCUGAUGUGCGGGAUCAGACGAUGGGUCCACCUUCCUCUCGUUGAGCUGUCCCAUAGCUGCUGCCAGUUGGACAUGUGUCUUUGUUGUCAUAGCAGUAGACAUCCUCCUCAAGCAAAACCGAGAUGGGCAUGAUACCCGCUACUAUACAGGCGGCUUCGGACGACAUGGUCCGGUAUCCCCUGAUAACCCGCAGGUUCAUCAGCCACUGAACGCUGCUAAGUCGCUGCAGGUUACAGUUUCUUCCCAGGGCCUGCCUCCAGACCGCUGCUCCGUACCGCAAUAUUGAUGUGGUCACACUUGCCAGGAUCCUCUAUUUACUACUUCGGAUUGCCGAGUAGUUCGGCAUCAUCCUUGUGAGUGCGGCCGUGGCCAUUGCCGCUGUCUUGCACUCGUAGUCGGCAUGGCUUGUAAAGCUGAGCCUGUCGUCUAUCAUCACCCCUAUGUACUUGAUUGCGCGUUUGGACACGAUAUUAUACGGUCCAACUGCAAUGGUACCUGUUUGGGGUGAGAUCAGGUUGGUGAUUAGCACCAUCUCGGUUUUGUGGUGCGCUAGACGCAGGCAGUUGGAGUCCCCUGCCUGGAUAGCUAACGUGGCCAGUAGCUCAGCCUCCGCUGUUGAGGAGCCUCUCGCCAAGAGGACUACAUCAUCCGCAAAUCCUACGAGUUCAGCUCCCGAUGGGAUUCUCAUUCGUAGGAGUUCGUCGUAAGAGACCGGGCCCCUGUGGAACACCCGCCGAAACCUCUUGUGCUCGCAAACCGUCGCCGGUCAUUUACUGCAGUUGGCGGUUGUGGAAGUAACUUUCCACAAGCCUAUACAGAUAUGCCGGGAUCCUCAUUUGGAUGAGCGACGACGCAAUCGCUGUCCAACUGACUCUGUUGAAAGCGUUCUUCACAUCCAGAGUGACUACCGCGCAAAAGCGGAGCUCACUCCUCUUGGUUAGCCUGGAUCUGUCCGCUACCUCGAUGAAAUGCAUACGAGUGUAAAAACGAUAAGCUGUAGUUUCAUCAGAUUGUGCAGGCUGUUCUACCAUAAAACCUUUCAAUAUAUCAAGUUUCAUGUUGGCAGAUUAUGUAUUUACAGUACACAAUCCAACUGAUGCUUGCCUAUUCGCCUGUUCUUCAUUCCUUUCUAAAUUCUUCUACCUAGCGUUUCAUCUCGCCGCACGUGUCAAUGAACAUAUUAAAUCAGUAAAUUUUUCGGCGAUUAAAACUUAUCAUCAAUUAUUGAAUAUUAGGGCAACUUAUACUAAAACGUAUUAUAUGAUCUAUUAAAAGCGUCAAUUCAAGGUUUGAUUAAUCUGACGAAGAUAAUUCAAAUAGGUACCUACCUACAUUUAUGUAAUUAUAUUUUAAUCGACACACCUGAAAGAGAAACGCGAAAUACGCCCCUAAGUCCAUAUUUCUUUAACAUGCUCAGGUUCCACGCCUUUUCAAUCCAUUUUCUCGGCACUCCUAUGAAGAACCAAAAGAUUAAAUCUCUGCGAGUCAGGCCUUGUAAAUUGUGUUGCAAACAGAUUCGCCAACUUAGUUUGCGCAGCAGCCAACCGCUUUGAUCGUAAACCAAAGUAAGUUUCCUAACAUUUGAGUCCAACAAGCUGGGGGCCGGAAAAAUUUGACACCAAAUUAUCCCACAAAUGAAAACACUUGUUCUGGCCGGCCGUUUCAGGCUGACGCUUUUGCCAUGAAGGGUUUUUAUCCUAUCUUCUUGUGAUGUGGUUGAUAUUUAGCCGAAUCAGAUGACCAGCAACGGCCCAUUUUUCUUGAUGCUUGUAUUUCACUAGCGAAUUUCUCCCACGCAACAACCAAACCAGCGCGUAGUGUGGAAUGAAAAAUGGUCCAAAUUAAAUUAUUUGUACCGUCCGUCGUUGCUUCAUGUCUUUGGUUCUUUCCCAGGAAGAUGUAUCAACAAACUACGUACAGGCAAAACUGUGACAGGGGAUAUUAUUUAAUUCCGCAAGUCAGGCGUCACGCGAGUUUUGCGAGCAAGUACGAUCUUGUAGAGAGUCCAAUGGUUUGAAGCUGAACGGCUUCGACUUUUCGCUGAACAUCAGAAAUCUAAAUGAUGUAAGCAGUAAUUAAGUGAAGUCAAAUUUAUUGAAGUUUAACAACAGCCGGAAAAUAAAAUCCAUUUUCCACUAAAUUAUUGUCUUGUGUUACUCAUCUGCUCGAGAGCUGUCUAUAAACAACGUUAAAUAUUACAGUGUAAUAUUUAGACUCAACAUUUGAAUCUAAUGAAUUUAGAUAAUAAAAUUGAUUUUUCAUACUUGAAACAUCCAGGUGUAUGAACGAUCCCACUCCAUCCUACAUUUUUUACCCCUAAUUGAGCUCGGGUGAAGAUUUAAUUUGACUGGCUGGAGAGCAGCUUCAGAUUCGAUCAGUUUAUGAGCGUUCUCACUCAGUGCAUUUCAAGUGCAAGUUUAACUGACGCUCGUUUGCGUUUUAUUUUUUAACUUUAUUGCUAGGGCCGUUUAAUUAUCGAUCUGAUUGAUGUUUUCCGCGCGCCGUCCAAGACAGUGAUGCCCGGAAACAGAUGCCUUCUGGUAGAUUUUUGGAGCGGUCGUAAUUUUAACCAAUCUAUUUUAGAAUCGAAUGGUUUUUGGGUUGUUUAGCAUUUAAACAAAUGGAAACAAUUAUUAAUAAAUGAGAAAUUAAAUUUCUUUGAAAUUAAUUUUGAAUUCUUUCACUUCACCGCCACUUGCGGUGAUUUUUGUCAGAUCCAAUUUAUUUUUAUAAGUUGUAAAAUCGAAAAUGAUCUUUCGUUCUGUAAACAGUUUUCCUUGUCUACACAAAUGUGCUAAAAUUUUUUAGUUAAAAAUCACAUGCAUAGUUUUAAUCACAAAUUUCAACGUUUUCUUACUAGACGAUGAAAUGAAUUUAACAGAACAAUCCAUAAACGUUAUAACGGUUAUAGAAGCUAGAAUUUGAUGAUUUUCAGUCACUUACAACUCAAACCCUUCGAAUGCAAGAAACAAUUUCUACUCUGUUUCAAUCACAAAACGUGAACGUUGAAACAACGUUGAAAAAUCACAUUGUUAAAAAUCGAUGAAAGGAAAAAAAAAGACCCAGAAAUACAAGCCAUCAAACUUCCAAUAGUGCCGAAUCGAUUAUCUAGAGCGGAACUUUCUGACUUUCUAAAUUGGAAAUUGCAUUGACUUUUGGAAAUCCGAUCGAAUCAUAUUGAAAGUUUUUUCUAGGUUUUUUGUGAAAGUAUCGUAGAUAGUAUUCCGAUGUACCGUCAACUGGGGCAUCAUGCAACACUUUUCAACUGUUUCAAACUUUCAAACUUAAUGUCCAGAGAGAAUCACAGCACGCUUGUUCAUCAAAAGUUUUAAGGUCGAUGGGACAUCAAAUUGACGUAGUAAGAAAAAUUAAACGUUUCAUCAGUUAUUUUAAAUUUACAAAAACAUGCGAACUUCUAAGAAAAAAGGGUUAGUUGCAACAAACUUUGUUUUUAAUCAAAAAUCAAAUGAAAACGUUUAAAAAUUUAUAGUUUUUGAUAUAUUUGUGAUGUCAUAACGCAUAAAGCACCAAUUGCAGUUAUAUUUGGUUUUGUUUGAAUUCAAGUUACAUUUUUCAUGUCGAAAAUGAUUUUAAAGAAAAAGUAGAAAGGUGGCACAUACAUUCAGGGGUAAAAAAUUCUACGAAAAUUCCACUUGCUGAAAUCAUAAAAAUCAAUGUUAUUAUGGAUGAAAUUUUGAAAUUAACAAUUGCGUAAUGCAUAACAAUCAUAUUCCAUGGAAACGAUCGAGAUUUAAAAGGUGAAUUUUUGAUAUUCACUGGGUAAAGUUUGUUACAUUAUCGAAAAAUUUUAAAAUUUGUACAUUUAUUGCUCGACUUUUCAAAUGAAAAACAUUCAAAAGCAAUCUCACAAUGUGAGAAACUGUGUCAUCAACAUUUUGUUAUCAUUAAAUGAAAACUUCAUUACAUUUUAUCAAAAUGAAAAUUGAAUAAGUGUUUUUUUUUUUAAAGACAUACACCGUCUUAGCCGAUUUAGGCUUUACAGACUGAAUAAAUGACGUGGACAACUUAAGAUUAACAUUUAACACCCAGUACCGAGAUGGGAAUCGAACCCAUGCCAUUAGUGGACCAGUGAUUACCGUCUUACCACGCUAACCACUCGACCACCGAGACGUACAAAUGUUGCAUCCAACCCAGCUGUUGCAUGAUGCCCCGUUUGACGAUAUAUUCCUUGAAAAUAAUUUUAAAAAAAUACCAUCAAACGGGGCAUUAUGCAAGAGUAGAGUUAGAUGCAAAAUUUGUAUACCACAACAUUUAUAAUUUUUUUUUAAAUGUUAUAAAGUUAUCAUUUUAUGACAACAAAAUAAUGAUGACACAGUUCCUCACAUUGUGAGAUAGCUUUUGAAUGUUUUUGAUUGCAUAGAUAGUUCAAAGAAUCGAGCAAUAGAUGCACAAAUUUUAACAUUUUUAGAUGCCGUAAAAAACUUUUCCCAGUAUGACAGAUUGGCCUAAUGAUAUCACCUACACACUUUAUAUUGCUUUUGUAAUCUUAUACCAACACUGUUGGUGUAAAAUUAUUUUUCUGACAUUAGCAAAUUUUUUAAAAUAUACAUUUAUUUAAUUCACCGUUAAAAUCUUUUUUCCAUAUGCUGGAAUAUGAUUGUUAUGCACCACGCGAUUUUGAGUUUCAAAAUUUCAUCCAAACAUUAAAUUUUUAUGAUUUCAACUUGUAGAAUUUUAAACCCCUUAAUGUAUGCAACACCUUAUGUUUUUUCUGAACAAAACAUCAACAAGCACACACUAAGUAGUAAUCGAAUUAUGUUAUGUUUGAGGCCCAUUUUCAGUUCUCGUGAAAUUUAACGGGAAAAUAUCUUUUUUUCAAUAGCUAAAAAUGCGUGUGUUAUAUUGUGGAAUCGAUGGGGAACAAUUUACAAACGAUUUUCCAGCUGGACUCGUUAUUUAAAAACUUUAAUCACGGAAAUUCCAUCAUGGCGUGAUAAUUGAAAUAAAAACAUUUCUGGGAAAUUAAAAACAACAAGAUAAAUUGGAUUUUCAUCUUUCAACCAUUCCCCAUCGAUUCCAACAUUCUAUGAAUCCAAGUUUCGUCAUGUUGUUGUGUUAUUGGCGACAUAAGAUUUUUCUUUAACUAGAACUGUAAAUGGGCUCUAGGCGUAUGUAAAUCCUUCGCGGAUACAAAGUCUAGCAUCUUAUAAAUGAAUAAUCUUCCAGCCCACAGAGACUUACUUACUUACUUGAUGAUUGCGCGUCGAUUCUCCGGCGCACAGGGCCGUGUUUAAAGACCUCCCAGUCAAGAUUCUUGACGACAGUUCCGGCGGCUAGGCCUCGCCACCACGAGUGGGUCUGCCCUCCUUCGAUGUCCUUCUGGAUUCCAGCGUCUCUCUGGAAAUCUCGUUCUGAUUUUUUCGCAACGUGUGCCCAAUCCAUCUUCACUUACGUUCCCGAAUCUCGAUUUCGAUUUAAAACGUUCGUAGCCACGCUCAUUUUGGUAGUUUUACUGCCGGGUCAAAGAAAUUUUCUGAGCGAGAAAUUAAAGAAGGAGAACUCCAGCUUUGCAACUUAUGGCUAAAUGAGUGGCUAACUUGAUUAAGAGAGUGUCACACGUUAUUGAUGUGACGGCGCCUCCCAGGAAAUACACCCGUCACCCGGGGUCCCAUGGCGAGGAACUUGUUAAAGAUUCACUCGUAGAGAUAUCUGACGUGAGCGUCAGUUGUUGCAGAGACUCGCAAAUAAAAAUCGGGCUUUUCUGAUCCGAGUUUCGAUUCUUUCUUACUAGUAUCACUAUUAGGCGUUGUCUGGCUAUAAAGAUACUGGAAGCCCUUCACUCUCUUAACUUGUAGCCCAGCUACCAUGAAACUGGAGGGAUUUCCUGUGUUGUUCUCCAUCGGCUUAGCCUUCCCGACAUUAACUUUGGGACCUGCUGCCUUGGAUCUUUCGGUGAGGUCGUCGAGUUUGCUCUGCAUAUGCGGUUGUGUUUGGGCGGGCAAAACAAUAUCGUCUGCCAGGUCAAGGUCGCCAUGUCAGAUUACUUUGAGGGUUGUACAGAUCAACGUUAUGCCUCGCCAGUUACCGCUUUCUGUCAGUUCUCCUUUCUUCGGGACCUUUACGAGGAUACCCUGCAUCCAGUCGGCAGGGAAUGUUGUAGUAUCCCAGAUGUCAGCGAAAAGGCGGUGCAACAUUUGUGCAGACAAGGCAGGGUCGGCUUUCAGUAUUUCAGCAGGGAUGCAAUCGAUCCCAUGUGCUUUCUUGGAUUUCAUGUCUUCGAUUGCCGCUUCUAUUUCAGCCAGCGAGGGCGCUUCCGAGUUGAUGCGACUUACUGUAGGCGCCUCGAGGCCAUCGCUAUUCGUGACUCGGAAGAGUUGUUCGAAGUGCUCAGUCCAUCGUUUGAGCUGAACUGUUCGAGGUGAUGGUCAGAUGCAAUGUCUGUGCUUCGUUUGUUGCGGACAUCAGGGGGGCCGGACAUUCGCCCAAAGGCCAAUAGACCGAAAGAUGUUAGGCCGAAGGUUGCUAGGCCGAAUGGGUUAAAAGGCCGACGGAUUUUCCCGAAUGGUCAUUAAGCUGAAUAGUCCUCAGGCCGAAUGGUCAUUGGACCGAAUGGUCAUUAGGCCGAAUGGUUGUUAGGCCGAAAGGUCAUUAAGCCGAAUGGUCAUUAGGCCGAAUGAUCACUAGGCCGAAUGGUCGUAAGGCCGAAUGUUCGCAAGGCCGAAUGGAUGCUAGGCCAAAAAAUCGUUGGGCCGAAGGGUCAUUAGGCCGAAUGGUCGUAAAAGCGAAUGGAUGCUAGGCCGAAUGGUCGUAGGGCCGAAUGGAAGCUAGAAGGUCGUUGACCGAAUGGUUGUUAGGCUGAAUGGUUUUGCAUGUUAGGUUGAUCAGUAGUUAGGCCGAAUGGUUGUUAGGCCAAAUGGUUAUCAGGCCGAAUGGAUGCAAGGCCAGAUUCGACCAUUCGGCCUAUCGUCCAUUCGGCUUUACGACCAUUCAGUGUAAUGACCAUUUGGCCUUGUGACCAUUCGGCCUAAUGAUCAUUCGGCCUUAUGACCAUUCGGCCUUGUGAACAUUCAGCCUAUCGUCCAUUCGGUCUAACAACCAUUCAGUCUCAUGACCAUUCGGUCUAGCAUGCAGAUAAGUGUAAAAGAUUUCUUAUUGACCGAGCAACCAUUCAUUACGACCAUUCAGCCCUAUGACCAUUCGGCCUAACGACCAUUCGACUUUUCGGCCUGGCAUCCAUUCGCCCUUACGACCAUUUGGACCGACCACCAUUCGGCCUAAUGACCAUUCGGCCUAACGACCUUUCGGCCUAGCACCCAUUCAGCAUUACGAACAUUCGGGCUUCCGAUCUUUCGGCCUUACGACCAUUCAGCCUUGUGACCAUUCGGCCUUACGACCAGUCGGCCUAAUGAACAUUUGGCCUAAUGCCCAUUCGGCCUAGUGACGAUUCGGCCUAAUAACCAUUCGGUCUAGUGACCAUUCGGCCGAACAUCUUUUCGACCUUGCGUCCUUUCGGCCUAAAAGCCUUCGGCUGGAUUACCGUCGGCCGAAUCACCCAUUCGGCCUAGUGGCCUAUUCGGCCAGAUAGCCCAUUCGGCCUAACGUCCAUCGGCUGAAUGACUUUCGGCCGAAUGGCUUCCGUCCUCAUGACUUUCGGCCGAAUGACCCAGCCUCACCAUCAAGGAGGCAUUUGAUGCAGAUGUGACAAUUUGAUUCUCUGUUCCGCUAUCUCGGGAUACCCAAUUGACCUUAUGUGCAAAAAGCGAUCCAUCGUUCACCAUGUUGUUGUUGUCAGAAAAGUCUACAAAAAGCUUUCCGUUUUCGCUCAUCUGUCCAAGACCUUGGCACCCCAUGAUGCGCUCAAAAUCUUGAUUGUCGGAGCCUAUCUUUGCGUUAAAGUCGCGCAAAUGUAUUUGAAUGUCAUCCUUCGGAAUUUUCUCAACCACGCUGUUCAGUUGACUGUAAAACUGCUUUUUCUCCUGCAAAUCGGCGGUCAGUUGGAAAAUAGCGCUGGACCAUUGUAAGGUUUCAAACCCGUGUUCUAAAUCUGGCUACGAUUAUUCUUUCGUUUAUCGGUUCUCAUAUAAUGAGGGCCGCAUGGGCCUGCGGGCUUAAUAGGAAACCAACUCCUCGUUCCCGAGUAGCAUGUUCUUCUCCUAUGUAUGAGUAAAGCAGGACUUGCCUGGACUGUGUCUUGUGUUCUCCAGUGUUAGGCCAAAGGACUUCUCUCAGUCCCAGAAUUUCAAGCUUGAGGCGGCUAGCUUCUGCUCUAUCAAGUUGGGCAAGCUUGCCUUGUUGGGCAAGGGUUAAAACAUUCCAAGUUUCAAUUCGUAUCCGUGUUUUCAUGCUAAAAGUCGUCGCCAAAGUUCCGGAUCGGUCAUUUCUUUCGGACUCCGUAACAAUUUUAUAAAUCGGGAGCAGUAGUAGGUUGUUAACCUAAAGUCCCUAUCCCGCGAUGGGGCUGCCAUCUUGGACUUAGCUGACGGAAGCCGCAUUUCAUAAAUUUAGCUGCUCGCUGCGAGACAGACGCUGUUUUAGUCGCCCCUGACCUGGAGAACAGACGUGUGCGGCCACUGCGGUGAUGAUCGCUGACUUAGAAAACUUUAACGCUACUCACUAGGCCACGACCGGCGGCCCUACAAAGAAUUUGACCAAUUCCACGCAAACACCCACCAUGAACUCAGCUCGUAUAUUCUUUUUUAAAUCACACCGUUUUGAAUAUAAUUUAUCAAACCUCACUCAUAUUUUGUUCUGCUUUUUUUUUGCGAUCGUAACCCCUAAAAAUUUUAAAUUUGAAAUACAAAAAAAUCUAAAGUGGCGCGUUUUUACGUCACGGUUCAACACGUUCGUCGCCAAGAAUGGGUGACGAAAAAUAUGUCUAAAUUGGAAAAGUCAUGAAACAAAUUCAUGAAUUAUUUUAUUCAAAAUUAUCUCGGAUUAAAACCAUUCUCUCCUUUGUUCUCUAGCUGAACUUCGAAGCCGAAUGAUACAUUCCGUUGAUGUUUUGACUUUUCAAAGUUGGAUAUAUUUCGAGUGGGUGACGCUUGGCGACGAACGCGUUGAACCAUUCAUAUUUCCUUCAUUGUUAAAUCAUUUAAAAAAAAUUAACUUUUAUUCAGGAUUAACUUAAAAAAUGUUCUGCGAACUUCGGGAGGUCCCAUUACGAAUAUAUUUUGUUUACAAAUGCAUGCUGUAAUUUAUUUAUUGUUGUAGUAUUCCGUUCACGACAUAACUUGAUGAACAAAAUUCCUAAAAACUUCAAACUGGUAUUCAUGUAUUGGUGAAGGCUGAAAAGGCACAAUUUUUUACCAAAAUAUGCCAGACAUCAAACAGAGCUUUAAUCGUUUUAAAUUUUAUUUUGUUCUAAUUGUAAGAAAAUAAUGCAUGGAUUCAUCAAAACUCAAUUCGGUUUGCGAGAAAAAAUGAAAAAGUGUUUUUUUCUUCUAAUACAAAAAAAAUAAUCAAGAAGAAAAAUAUUCACUACAAAGUCCAUCAUGGAAUAAUUUCCCAAAAAAAUAAUGGACUAAAUACUCUUCCAUUUCUUCACCAAACUUCCAAUAAAUGAGGAUAGCUUUUUUUACAAUUGCCAAAAAAACGCACAACAAAAAUUCGUAAACGAUUUCGAGAAGAUGUUGAAAUUAAUGUAAAACGGCUCGAUACGAGAGUGGGCUGUGCAUCCACCGCUCGUACUGAAGGAAUGCACGAAUAAUUUAGAGGAAAAAAUCGAUGAAAACACAAAUAUUAGAAUGCAGCCAUAUCAUACCGAAAAAAAAAAAUAAAAAAAAUCAAACUCGAAUGAUGUUCGAUACAAACACGGUUAUUUAAUUAUGUUACAAUCUGAAGGAGAAAAAAUCUAUAUAAAAAGCAACAGAAACAACAAUAGAUUAAAGUCAACUGUAGCCAGUAAACGAAUUGUCUGUGGUAAAUGUUCGAAGUGUAGAAAACAAACAAAAUAAGAUGCUCGGCAUCGUCAUGUAAAGAUAGGUAAAGUUGAAAAGAAAACCAAAUGUUAGACUAGAUAAAACGUGUAACGUUCAAACCGGGAAGAUCAUAUCUUUCCCAUCUAGAGAUUUAUAGUUUAAGUUUGAUAAGUUUGUAAUUGAAAUCAAAACAAAAAAAAACAUGUCACAAGUGAGAGAACAAAGAUAAAUUUAACGCUAAGAGCAUCUAACAAUAGCUGAUAAAGAAUGAUAGACACUACGUAAGCGAUACCAAAAAUUCUGAACAGAAAUAAGCCUAAAAAAGGUGAAUAGGUAAGUCCAUUUUAGUGAUAAUAGAAUCUACUAAAAUAUUGAAUUUAAGCUAACUAGCAACUACUAGCUGAGAAUCCAUUACGCACUAAUAAGGAGAGAACAAAACUAUAGGAGAAUCCCAGAAAGAUGGCAUCUAAAUAAAGAAAAAAGCAAUAUUUAUAUCGGUAGGAUAACGAAAACCUGUAAAAAUAUUCUACACAUUUUUGUGACAACAAUCGAGUUUGAAAUUAAUGGUAGACUCCACGAAAUUCAAGAAAAAAACAUGUCGGAAUACUAAAUGGUGUUUGGAAGAAUUCAAUUGUUGUGCAAUUCCAAAACAAAUAAAAAAAAACGAAACCUUUCAUAAAAAUAAUCUUCAUGUUAGCAAUUGAUAGGAUGCUUCGAGAAACCAAAAGUAGGUACGAUUAAGAACCGUGUCGUUACCAUUUUCAUAAUAGAUCAAAGCAUACGAAGCCCGUCGUCUUAAGCCCACCGCAAUCAAGCCACAAUCGCAUCAGCUCAUGAAAUCAUCACAAAUCAUGUAGAAUCAACGCGUAAAGUUUCUCACCUGCUAGCUUUCCUGCCUUUCGAGUUCAAAUAGCGAAAUGAAUAGAUCCUUCCGGUGCCAUCACAUUUUUACAUUAUGAUUUGUUGGACGAAUGUGCUACGGUUAAAUACUCGUUUCAUCCCGACUAUCACGUUUUAACAAAUCGUUAGAUGUAAUUUGUUAGUUAUUGAGUGAAGCUUUCAAUCCCUUAGAAGGGGCAGGCAACGAAAGUCGAUCGAAAAAGGGGGCUCAUUCUGCGAACCACGUAAGGUGAUUCGAAAUUUCACUUAGUCGCCCUAGCUCCAGGAAACAAAAAGAAAUCAUUCAGAUAAGCUCCUAUCACUUAACGUAACUCGCAGAAUAAGCCCCAGUAUAGCAAAUAAUUAGUGCAGCAAAGUAGGUGCAACCAAACAUGAUUUCAAGUGUUGCAUACCUAAAGGCGCUUUUUAUUUUUCUUAAGCCUAGCCUACACUAGGCAACAUGAACUGCGAUUUUUGUUAUGAGACGAACUUUGUUGUCUCAUUUUUCCCGAAGACAAACCGUCUCCUAGUGUGGACUAGGCUUUAGAUUACUCUUGUAACAAGUUCGUGGCCAAGCGUCACCAACAACAAACAAUUUAUUAGUUUUCAAAUUCAAAACAAUCAAGAGGAAAUAUCGUUUUGGUUAUAAAUUUUGGCUUUCCUCACUGUACAUUAUGAAAUGUUACGAAAAAAUAUUGAAUUAAAACAAUAACUUCACAUGGAUGUUAGAAUUUUCCAAAGUUAUACGUAUUUUGCAGUGGCGACGAACGUGUUAAGGCCAAAAAAAUAUCAAAUUCUUUCUUUGUCGCUCUUUUCGAUAAUUUCGAAAAUUCCGGAGUGAAGGAUAAAUGAAUAUUAAGGCAUAUAAAGCGCGAACACAAAAUUAUUGCGACACCUAAAAUAUCAUGCCAAUUUUCUUAUAAUGUUUAGAAUCAAACCAAAAUUUUAGGGCACUUUUAAACAUAUAUUUUCUUCAAAAAUCAAAACAGAAGUCAAUCGAUGGAGCCUUGAGUGUGAAAUUGAACGCAUUUUCGCUUGCUUCCCUCCAUCAAAGACUUUACAGUGUCACACGGUACCAGUUUCUCAGUUUUUUUUUCCAUUCUCCAAACAUGUCCUUCUCGCCUUUGACUGUCUUCUUGUUCUUCCGAAGUUUCCGCUUAAUUAUUGCCCAGUUGUGCUCCACCGGACGCAGCUCCGGAAAGUUCAUGUUGUUUGAAACAAAAUGGACAGAAUUGGCCUCAUACCACUUCAGGACACUUAGAAUAGUGGCAUGAUGCCAAAUCUGGCCAAAAUAACGGAGCUUCGUCGUGCUGCUGCAAGAACGGCAAAAGGCGUGUUUCUCGAGACACUCAGAUUGGAGAAUAUCGCCGUUUACAGUGCCCUUUGUCACGAAAGGCUCACUCCUCAGUCCGCAAGAGCAGAUGGCCUGUAAAACGAGAUAUUUGGAGGCGAACUUUGAAAAUGUCUUCUUCUUAAAUUUGUCGUCCACAUCGAGAUUGCUCUUGGUGGCGAAAAACUCCAACUCCGGAAUUUGCUUAAAAUCGGCUUUUAUAUACGUUUCGUCGUCCAUCACACAGUAGCCAAAUUGGGUCAGCAUCUUCUCGUAGAGCUUCCGUGUCCGAGUUUUAGCCGUCGAUUGUUGGCGCUCAUCGCGGUUUGGGAAGAUCUGUACCUUGUAUGUAUGUAAUCCAGCUCUCUUAUUUGCAUUCUGGAUGUAGCUCUGCGACAUGUCGAUCUUUUUAGCCAGAUCACGGCUUGAGACGUUAGGAUUUGUUUUAAACAUCCGCUUCAACUUUCCCUUCGCUCUCGGUUUUCUUCCAACUCCUUCGCCGUGGUCCAACGUCAGCCGCUCCUGGAACCCCUUCAACACUCUGGAGACUAUUGAAUGUUCAACUUUUCUCCCAACUGCCGGUGCGACAGGUCAGGAAAUUCCAAGUGUUUGGAAAGAAUUUGUUCUCUUUAUUCGCGUUGGUUCACCUCCAUUUUCGGUGAAUCGAAAAACACGACUUCGAGUUUGACAGCAUGUAAACAAUACACAUCAAUGAGAAAGUGUGCAAAAUCUGGUUGAUUUAAACCCAAUGGUAAAGAAGUGCUAUUGAAUGUGUCGCAAUAAUUUCGUAUUCGCUUUUUAUUUAUAAAUUUUUAAAUUCUUCAAAAAUUGAAACAGUUCAAUUUUGCGAAUAGAGUGAUAAAAUCUGGACAAUGUCGCCGAUGUCCGCGAGUUCGAGCCCAAGAGUAAACAUCAACACAGUUGUACCGGAUAAGUUUUUCAAUAAUGACCCGCUAACUUCAACGUUGAUAAAGUCGCGAAUGCCAUAAAGAUGGUAAGACGACUAUAAUCGAAUAAAAAAAUGAACAAAAUCCGGGCAUUUAUCAACGAAAUCCAGGCAAUCGGACUGGACCGGACCUUUCCCGAAUUUCGAAUUAAAUAUCCAGGCAAGUUCGAGUAGCACCGGGCAAUAUGGGAAGUUUAAUCUAAAACAAUAUCAAUUUAAAAAAAUAUUCAAGACUUGUAAGUCUAAUUAACAAAUAUUUUCCGCGCAGUUCUUUCAGUUCUAAUACAAGGAGUCUUUUAAAAAAAUGCAACACUUUGUUUCGCGAAUAACUUCUGAGUGCAUGGAUGGAAAUUGAUAAAAUUUUUAGUGAAGCUGCUCAGCUAUGUAAUGAGUACGUGUGCAUAAUUUGGUGACAAUCUGUCAAGUGGUUAUUGAGAUAGCGUCCAAUACUAAAGCUCAUUGACAAAAUUUUUGAACUGAUGAUUCAUCAGUGCUAUUAUCAUGCGCAAUCCGAGAACGAUUCUAUAGAAGAAUAGUUAAAAAAGAUCAUUUUUGACUGAUUUGUUUAGCUGACUAACAAACGGGCCUGAUUUCAUUUCUGCAAGGUAAAAAAGCUGCCCACCGAUACAAUAAAUCAAAUAAAGUGGUCAAACCGUUUGCACAAUAUUGGGACCGCUAGUGGGGAAAUAAUUUGAAAAAUUUCGUAACGGACAGUAAAACGAACUCUUUAGUGGGCACUUGGGAGAUUUUCAGCCAGAAACUUUCCGUUGUCAAUUGAAUAAAAAAUUGAUGUCUUAAGGAAGCUGACGAUCUGUGAAAGUUGCAAAUCCUGCAGUGUUUCAUUACGAUUGACAAAACGAAUAGCUAAUUUACAAAGAAGACUGCCUCCAAAUGCGACCGUUUCAACUAUAAAGCACUUCAAAAGGUCCCACAAAAAUUAAACUCUGUUUUGGUUGGAUUUGGAAUCGUGCCCUUACGUGAAAACUGUGGUGGAGUGAUAAAAAGUCAAAUAUGUUGCUUAUGUGCUAAAGGAGGACAAUCGGUCAAAUUGGUCAUAAUUCGACCAAGUUAAAAUUUUUGAGUAAUUUUGAAAGUCAAGCUUCAGAACAGUAAACGUAUUUAAAAUUAGCCUUGAUUUAGAAAAAGAAUGGUUUAUGGAACAUUAAAGAUGGCGCAUGUGAUGCACAAAAAAUGAGGCCGAAAAUUUUCUUCAUAGGACGCUAUCAAACCACAAACCACUUCACAGAACAUAGCAAAAAUAUGCAUAUGCACUAGAUUGAGUCGAUUUGGCUUCGUUUUAGUUCAAAACUAAUCCAUGGUUUUUUUCAGAAUUUUUAUGUAACGUUUACAUGAGUAAAUUGGAACUUCUAGGUUUGUAAGGGAAAAUUGAAUAUUUUGUACAAAAAAAAUCAUCAACAUUUUUGUUUCUUCUUCAGAACCAAGCCUGCUAAUGAUUUUAGUGCCAAUUUAUAAAUUUGUAAAUUAUAAUUUAUAAAUUUUCUAAAGCAAAUCUUCCGCUCAAUAACUUUGUCGAAGACCUUAACUUCGUAUCUAAUUAGGCAAAAAAGUUAUAAGCUGUUUAACAGGGUAUGUCUUUUGGCAUUGAAAAAUAAUCAAUUCAAUUGACCCCUAUUAAACAGCUAAUAACCUUUUUAUCUUAUAAGCUACGAUGUUACGGUCUUCAACUGAAUUGUGCAGCGGAAAAUGUUCUAUAGAAAAUUUAUAAAUUGGUACAAAAUCUAUAAGCAAGCUCUGUUCCUCAGAAGAAAAAAAAAUAAUGUUGAUUUUUCAGUACAAAAUAUUCAAUUUUCCCAUACAAAUCAAAAAGUUCAAAUUUACUCAUGUAAACGUAAAGUAAAAAUUCUGCAAAAACUUAUUGAUGAGUUUUGAACCAAAACGAAGUUUUAAAGACCCCAGGGUUUGAGAAAUUCAAAAAUGACCCCAAAUCGACUCAGUCUAAUGUACACAUUACAUAAUUAGGCAGCUUCGCUGAAAAUUGCAUUAAUUUCCAUCCAUGUAUUCAAAAGUUAUUUACAAAACAAAGUGUUUCAUUUUUUUUCGAAUACACUCCUUAUUAUGCCAAAAUUUAAGUGUCUUCAGCACUUUUGAAGGUAUCGAAUUUAUACAGUUAUUUUAAAUCAUCAAUAAGUGCCGCAUUGGUUAAUUUUAUUACGAAUGUACAUUAGACUGCCCCAAAUUUGUAUGAGAAAUUUCAAGCUUGUGAAAUGUUAAGCGCUGCAGGCUUAAAUUGAUCCUAAAUAGGCCUAGUACAAGGUCUCAUACCAAAUUUGGGCCAGAUCGGAUCACGGGAAAGGAUCGCUCAACGAGCGAAGUUUGUAUGGAAUUUUGAGACAUUUUGUUCGGGAGAAACAUGAAAAUCCAGUUUUUCAUGAAUAACUUUGGUCUCUUUCGGCCGAUUACUUUUGAAAAUGGUUUUUCUUAAAGCCUAAACUAUGACAAAGAUAUCAUCCGAAGACUAAAUCUCGAUUCGACUUAUGAUAAAAAAGUUAUUAAACUUCAAAAAUGGGGUAACUUUUUUCAGGGUGAUAUUCGUCACUGUUAAUGCUGCGUCCAAAUGUUCCAAGCCGUUUCUCUCAUUAAUAGUGAUGAAUAUCACCCUUGAAAAAGAUAACUAUUUUUUGAAGCCUAAUAGCUUUUGUGUCUUAAUUUGAAUCGAAAUGCAGUUUUUGGAUAAAAUUUUUGUCAUAGUUUAGGCUUUAAGAAAAACCAUUUUUAAAAGAAAUCGGCCGAAGGAGACCAAAGUUAUUCAUGAAAAACUGGAUUUUCGUGUUCCUCCCGAUCAAAAUGUCCGAAAAUCCCAUACAAACUUAAGACUCGCUGAGCGACCCCUUCCUGUGAUCCGAUCUGGCCCAAAUUUGGCAUGAGACCUUAUACUAGGCCUAGGAUCAAUUUAAGCCCGCAGCUCAUAACUUUUUCAAAUGUCAGAUCAUUUAGAGCACUCUAAUGUACAUAUAUGCAAAAAUUCAAAUGAUUUGUAGUUAAAAAAAUGUGCUAUUUACUCUGUCUUUGGCAGAUUAAAUUAAUAUGAGGAGAAAGAAUACCCCAAUGUGUAACUUCCUUUCAAAACAAAACAAAAAAAUCUAAAAUAUUGAUUUUUCGAUGAUCUGAGGAUAAGAAAUAAAUUGAUAAUGGAAUAUCAUUAACUGUGGAUAUCUAUACCGCUAAGGAAAUACUCAAUGAUAGCAGAAGUUUAAGGCUAUUUCCGCUUUUUCCAUCCGAAAUUUAAAAAUAAAUCUUGGAGCAUUGAUACUAUUGUUAAUUUUCAGAAACACGUAAACUAGACGAACAUUAUUCGUAAAAUUCAACUAAAAUAAAGAUGUCUCCAUACUAUUGAAAACUCUUUACUAACAGUUGUCAAAAACGAAGGCUUAGAUAAGCUUAAAAACAUGAGAAAACUGCAAAUGGACCUUUUUUCGAAAAAUCAUCAAUCAGAAAUCCAUGAUCCAUGUGCUGUUCGAUAAAAAAAAUGACCAUUCUGGAUUGAUUUUAGAAAAAAAAAUUCUUAAUUAGAAAGGAAAGAUGAGUCAUAAACCUCACUUGGUCGGGAUUUGACCAGAACUGAACGUCAUAAACUUGAUUUCGAGAAAAUCGAGUUCGAAGUUCACAGCCCUACCAAUUGAUACCAUUUCGUCAGAUAUCUCAUUCAAUAAUUUUACCACAUUUGGAAUCUUAUAAAGCCGUCGAGGUUUUACUGGUCGAUUUCUGGUUACACAUUAAGCAAAACACUGAGUUUUAAUAGCAUAAUGUUUGAACCCAGUUCAAUCUGGUCGAACAAAAAUGUUUUUUUACGGGAUUUUCAUCCUCUGGGAUGAUUCAUCCCUAAUAACAAAAAUGUUUAAAAUUGGCUAUGCAAUAUCAUUUGUGUGGGCAGUUUGUUCGUAGGAGCCUACUUAUAGGCGCUUUACGAGCAGCACCCAACCGGUGAUGUAAACCUUCCAGAUUUUGUCUGGAUCUUUCAGACUUUUUGGACUUCUGUCAGACAUUUUUGCAGGUUUCCAGACUUCCAGACCUUUGUAAUUUCUUCCAGACAAUUUCAGACUUUUGGAUUAGAACAUAAAUUGUUCUAAGAAACUAUGAAAAUUUGAAAUGGUCAUGGUAUAUUAUGGCAGAAAAUGAUUAGAAUUUAUGAAUUCAGAUGUGGUUGAAAGCUAUUAAUAAAGGCAAAUGCUUCGAAGAUGUAUGUUAAAUUGAGAGUUAAACAGAACAUGUAACUGAUAGUGACAGAAACAAACAAUUAGUGGCUAUCUGCAAUAUUGAUAUCUGGCGACCAAAAAAAAGGUCACCACCUUCAACCAACGAGUAUGGAAAAUGGUUUUUUAACUUACCAGCAGCGUUCUGAACGACAGUAAGCAAUCAAAUUAAACAUCUUCUAACGUUAAAUGUUAAAAAUCCUAACCUAUCCUACCGUAAUCCUAUCCUUAUGUAAAUUUGAAAACAAAAUUCCAGGGAUUCAGUCAUCAUUUGAUUUAUCAGAUAUUAGUACUUGACGAGCCGAAGAACUGUUUUGAAUCGAAAAAACCAACACACAUAAGAUUAUUUCGCACAAAAUUAGUUUUCAUGACCAAAACAUGCUUUUCAUCUUUACCUCAAAGGUGGCUCUCAGUUCACUUGGCGCAACGUAUUUUUGCCAUUUCCACUGUCUGCAACAUUGAAAUUUUUGUAAUAAUAUCAGAAAAAAUAGAAAAUGGAUUCUGAUUUUCAUUAGAUAGGUAGUUUAUCAUGUUUCCCAUCCGCUGCAAUAGAUAACUCAUUUUUUAACAAAUUGGCGUUCAGUUCGGCCUGGUCUAAUCCCGACCACUCAUCAUACAAGUUGAAAUAUCUCAGGUAUUUGUGAAACAAGUUUAAACAAAAAAUAAAUAGAAAUAUAGCUAUAAGUCAGCCUAUUUCAUUUCUUUCUUUAUUUAAAAAAGUCAAUUCUACACAGACAAAAUUUUUGACCAUUAAGUGUCACUGGAACUGCAACCUUUAAAAUAAAUCAACCUUUAAUUAACGAAAUCUGUAUUUUUAAAUUGUUUUCCUUAAACGUUAACGAAGAUUAAUUUAUUAUCACAGCAAAUGUCCUUUUUGUUACCUGGUAUUUGCGUUAUUUUACAGGAAAUAAAUUUUGCUGUGUAAUAUGUUUCUAAAUUCAUAAAAAAUGGUUGGAGUGUGUGAAAACUUAAACCGAAGAAGAACUGAAAGUCUUCUUAGCCUAUGAGCUUAUGGAAUUUUUGUAAAAAAUUUCCUCAUUUAUAAAGUUUUUAGUAGAACAAAAGUUGUUUUCGAUCAUAAAAAUAAGCUUCUGUGAAGUUAAAAUACCGUCAAACUGCGUAAGAUGCAACAGAAUUCAAUAAAGCGAUUUUUUUCUUCAUAUAAAAUAUUGAAAAAAAUAUAAAUGAUAUUUUGAAAACACAUUUUUGUUACCAGAAAAAUUUGAUCUGUCCAAAUGUUUUAAUUUUCGAAUUCAACCACGUAAGCAAGUAAAUUUUAUUGUUAUAAUUUUUACCCCUAAAUGUAUGCAGCACCAAUACGCUUAAGAAUUCGUUGAGGAGGAAUAAAAGCCUAGAACAUUUUUUGGAAAUGAUUUUUGAUAGAUUUUCAGGAAUUUUAAAUUGAUUUUUCAAUUAAAAAAAAAAGGUUGUUGCAAUUUACUCCUCCCUACGAAGGAAAUGUAAAACAUAUGUUCUUGAGGCAUUUUAUUGCCAAAACUUUUAAUUUUACUGACUGCAUCAAUAUAAUUUCCCAUCCACCUAACUACUUUUGAUAUAGUGUGAUUACCUAUGAACAUAUUUUUUUCGAAGACAUUGAGUUGAAAAGUUUUGCAUGUCACCUCAGUUGACGGCAGAGAUUGAAGACUCGCCGAGAUUUUGUUCGUAGAGGUGACAAAUUUUCGCACAUAAACUCAGGCGUUUUCGAACGACUUUGGCGCAGAAUCACUGGAUCGCCUUUACUAAUGCAAUUUUUUUAACCCAAAUUUUUAUUAGGGAUGAAUGAUCCCAGGGUAAAUAAAUACCGUACAAAAAAUCACAAAUUUCGACUUCUGUGGUAUUUCCCUUCUAGCGCCGCCAAACAUUUAUUCGAGAAACAACAGCCUGAUCAUCUUGAUACUCAAAGCUUUUUGUUUCUAAGUAUUUUGAGCUCAAGGGAUCAAUUAUGCCCAUAACAUACAAAAUGGAAUUUUUUUUUCUUAAACAAAAUUUAGAAUUAUUUAUUGCUUUGAAAAUAUGGCAAAAUAAAGUUCAAAUUACACUCUAACGAUUGACAUUUUUGUAAAAACAAAAUUUAUCCUAGUUUUUUCAUGUUACAAACAUAUAAAGUGAUAUAAAAGAUCUUCAAAUCACAUUUCGUUUAAUUUUUCAUUCAAAGUUCAAUUCGAAACAUUUUUUUUUUAAUUCGUUAAAAUAACAGCAUUGUUGUUUUGUUCAAUUUCGCACAUUUUUCUAGAAAAUUUGAUAUUUCUUUCGAGUUACAGCGAAGGAAUCAAGUAUCCUCACUCUCCCCAAUAGCUCUUUUCAACACCUAUUACUUUUAUCUAAUCUUUUUAUCAAUCACAAAAUUUCAUUUCUAAUGUCGAGAAACUUUAAUUCAUAAUCAAUUUUUCGGUUGUUAGCUCUCUUAAAAUACUUAAUACGAAUUUUCUUGAGAAAUAAUUAUCUUUUUAAAGCAACUUCUUUAAUGAUCAUUUGACAAUUGCAUAUGUCUAUAAUUUUAACCUGAAAAGUUUUAAUAAAAAAAAAUUCUCGCCUUUUCUUUUUUUCUGAAUUUGAAACGACCAUCGAUAACUGAUUUCAUUGGUAUCUAAUAAAAUUUAUUAAGAAUAGAUUACACUUUUUCCAAAUCUAGACCAAUCGAUCGACUUUCUAUGCUGUUUGGAUGAAUAAAACCCUCUAGAAUGAGCACAAUAAACCUAAGCUGUGAUAGUUUCAAAAAAAAAGUUAUCUCUAUCAGUGUUAAGUUUCUUAAAACUUUAUGACAAGAAUAUAUAGAACUGUUAAGAAAAAAUGUUUGAUUUCUAGUUGUAUGAAUUUUAUUUUUGCCCUUUCUAUUUCCAACUCAUCUCAAAGCGUAGUUCUGUUUAAAAAAAAUCUCUAUCGACUGUUCAGUAGAGUGUCAUCGAUAAAAAUAGGAUUUAGAGUAACAAAAAGGAUAGAGCCGUAGAAACAAACCAACUGUAAACCCAUUAAUGUAAAUGUUGUUGAAAACGAAACUUCAAAGUGCUGUUCAGUUAAAUUAACUAAAAGAAAAACAAACAAAAAAAGAAUAACAACCUAUGAAAGGUGGAAACUUAGAUUUAGAAAUAUCAUUGUGAUCAUCGGAAAGCAAGCAGAAUAAAACAAAUGAAAAAAACUCAUUCAUUGCUAAGUCUACUGAAUAAACUAUGGGAUAGUAACAUGUGAAAAACAUAUGGGAACCUAAAGCAAACGAAAGCAAAUACCAAAAUUUAUAGAACCGUUUUUGUUUGUUUGGCAAACCCAAGAUAGAUGAAACAUACAAGAUUAAAAAAAACUAUAGACGAAAAACACUGGCGUUCAACAAUCAAACUAAAUCUGAUCUAAGCUAAUAGGAUCAUUUAAACGAAAUUUCUACAUAGCUGGUUAAACUAUUGUAAAAUGUGCUGCAUGUUGUUUUUCGAGAGAAUUUAUGUGAAACUCUAGCUAAUAUAAACUGAAAAAAAACAUGUUAUUUGCGACUGAAUGAGUUUGAUUAGCCCUAGUAAAAGAGGAAUAGGUGUAAACGAAACCGAACAUUUUCAUAACUUCGAACAACAAUGUGAGAAUCGAACUUUAUGAAAACCAAAAAAAAACUUCACUUAUUGAACUUACAACUUUUUCGGUUCUAAAUGCAAGCUCUAGAAUGUAGUGAGUUUUUUAAGGCAGACCCCUAGAGUUUCGAUAUCCCUCUAAUUGCAAAGAGAUUCAUGAACUUCCAUUCAUUUAUUCGAUAAUGGAUUAGAAAAAAAAACCUUUAUAGAAGAUCUCUUGUGACAGAGAUAAACAAAAAGAAAACAAUAAUUAAUUUAGCAUAGGGUGAAUGUGUAAAAUCACUUGUUGAAUGACAUAGUUCUGUUUUGUUGUGUAUAAUUCCUUUUUGCAGAGAAAAUCCAACCAGUAGAUGUAGGUAUUAGCGAAAAUGAGUCUCAUAGUUGGUCAAUUUUAAGUGCAAACGCAAACCUCUUGCUAAGUUGCUGAUGUUUAAAGCAGUUUUAUUACUAGUUAAUGACGAUGGCAUUUAAUACAAAGAUACACAAAUAUACACUCAACCACACACAAACAUUUAAAACACAAAAAAGCAAACAUAAUUUUAAGAGUUGUACGGCAGUGCAGAUUUUCUUUAGUGAAACCCUUCGGUGGUGCUUCGCAGCAAAACUUAUUUAUAUAUUCCGUUACAAUGUAUCCACAUAUAAACGAUAUGGUGGAAAAAACAAGAGCAAAAAACCAAUGUUAAGUUCCCCAAAUGAGGCACCCAACUAUAUCAAAAGGACACAAACCAAACCCAAACCGAAAGGACGCAAAUUGUUCGAGAAAAAAAAACAUAAACCGAGAUAUUACGAUAAGGAUCAAAAAGUAAACGUGAAGUAAACGAAGAAAUCGAAUGAGAUAUUUAUUUUUAGUUGUAAGAAUAUUUUGAACAAGUUCAACAAAAAAUCAAAGUGAUUCAUAAUUA